rnacentral:lncRNA from 10 species
CACUGACUGAAAUGUUAUUAUGUGCUGCAUGAACGCAUCUGUUAAAUGUAUAAACUAAAGAGUUGAAACAAAUCCCAUGUUUGGCCAAUGUAGAAUCUAAGUAGAAGGAAGACAUAGAACUAAAUUUUUCAUCCUUUUAUAACUACAAAUGGAUUUAAAUAUAAUAUUAAGUCUUCUGUUCACAUAGUACAUGGUUCAAAUGUACAUAGAAAGUACAUAUAAAUAUCUGGAGGAAGAUUAUUCCAGGUGGAGAGAACUGCAAGACCUUGUGGCAAGAAGGGGCUCAGCAUGACUGACAAAUAGCAAGAAGGAUGUCAGCUGUGGCACUGGCUACCUUGACACAUCUUCAUCUGAAGAAAAAAUACAAAGAAGGCCUGCCAUGAUGACAAUUUACUUCAUGAAGAGAACGGGUUCUGAAACGGUCAUUCUUUUCCAUUUAAACAAUGUUACCAUCUCCCAAAGAACAGCUUUGGGGUAGGAAAGAACAGUAUUUCAUUUCAAGCUGGACUACUCAUCUACCAAAAAACCAUUCUGACCAAAGAAACAGAUGCAGAAUUACAGUCACAGCUGCAUUCUGCACAGAACAAGUUGGAUAAUGGGUCAUCCAGGCUGGAAUGCAAGUGACACAAUCACAGCUCACUGCAGCCUUGACUUCCUCGGCUCAAGUGAUCCUCCUGCCUCAGCCUCCCAAGUAGCUGGGACUACAGGCACGUAACGUCACACCUUGUUAAUUUUCAUAUUUUUUCGUAGAGACAGCGUUUUGCCAUAUUGCCCAGGCUAAUCUUGAACUACUGGGCUCAAGCAAUCUGCCUGUCUCAGCCUCCCAAAGUGAUGGGAUUACCGGCAUGAGCCACUGGGCCUGGCCCCACUUUUUCCUUUUUAACACUAUGGGUGUUUUUCUGUGUGUGCUUUUUUGAAUAGAAGUGGUGAGAGGGCACGUUCUUGCCUUUUUCCUAAUCUUAAAAAAGUUUUCGAUACUAAAUAUAUUAUCUAUAGGUUUUUCAAAGAAAUGAGAAGUUGCCUCCUAUUCCUAGUUUGCUGAGGGUUUUAUUUUCUCACGAAUGGGUAUGUUCUCUGUACAAUUAACCAAUGAAAUCGUCUGGGUCUUUGUGGGAAGAUUCUUAGUAACAAAUUCUAUUUCCUUAAUUAUGCAGAUUUUCUGUAUCAUCUUAUGCCAUCAUGCUAAGUUGUAUUUUUCAAGGAAUUUGUCAAUUUUGUAUAAGUUGUCAAGUUUACUGGAAUAAAG